CGUUUGCAAGCAUAUGAAUGUGUUCAUAUAUGUAUAUUUUCAUGAGGCAUCUCAAAACUACUCAAUUUUUGAAAUACACUCACAUUAUGAAUGUAUCUUGCUUUAAUCAACCAGUAAUAAUGAAGCGCCAAUGAAACCGUGACAGCUGCACAGUGAAGCUAUUGCUUCUCUCUCUCUCUCUCUCUCUACAACAGUAAGCAGGUGAAGGGCAGUGUCAGAAAGAGAGGGAGGGGAAUGACAGGAAGACACAGCAGGUAAGGAAACAAUGAGAUGAAAUGAUCAGAACAGAAACAGACAUGGCAGAAGACAGGAAAAGAGUUUGAAAGCAUUUGAUGACAUUUUGGAUUCAACUAAUUGUGAGAUGCUUGUGACUGUGAUAUCUGUAGCCAUGGUGAUGCUGACAGGUCACCUGCUAUAUGGGCUCCCCAUGGACGGAAAAAUUAGAAAUUCUAGAGCCCUUUCAGAAGAAGAGCUGUGUGAUGCAGGAUAUUUCAAGUCAGGCUCUAGUUGUCUUAAGUGCGAUCCUGGUUUCUUCACCAGUCAGAAAAACAGAGAAGACCGUUGCCACCGCUGCUUCCAGAACUGCAUACCUGAAUUCAACAUGACGGUGGUGGUGGCAUGUACGUUUACAUCAGAUGUGAAGUGUCGCUGUCGGGAGGGUCACACUUGCACCGCGACCGAUCAAUACACGGGCCAAUGUCACAGUUGUGCUCCUGUCUCCACCCCAGUCCUGUCCUCCACCUAUGCUGAUGUCCCUUCAUCCACUACAUCCACCACUUCAUCCACAGAGACUGCUGAGAUCAGGCUGGGUGACAAUAGUGUUGGGGUGUUGAUUUUAUGUGGAUUCAUUUCUGUAAUGUUAUCCGUCAUCAUCCUUACGCUGUUCCUCCGGCUCUGCAGGAAGAAAGAGAAGGAAUGUUUUAAGCAUUUUGUCAGGAAGUGCUCGUUGGGUAAUAUGGAGGUGGACAGUGAGACUACACCUCCUACCAGCCAACUAGAUGAGCAGCCCCAUGCCCAGGAGAUGCUGUCACAUGGCAGCACACCCACCAAUCACAACACAGACUGCUCAUUUCAUCAGCCAAUCAGCUCAGUGCAGGCUGUGCCUCCAGCCGGCAAUUUAGGCCCUCUUCACAUCUAUGGUCCCCAGACAGUUUUUGUUAGUUUGCUCAAUCAGUUUGGAUGGGAUGGCGGCGAGAAAAAAGCACAUGAACUCCAAGAAGAAUCACUAAACAACAUCAACGUGUCCUGCCCUCAGUCUCCCCCCGUCCAUCUGUCUGAGGAGGAAAGGAGCAGAGAGAACGAUUUCAUCUUCUUCCCAUCUCAGGAGCAAGGGAAAGAGUGCCACAUAUCUAAAGAAGAGGUUCUGUAAGGGAUGAUGGAAUAUUUGUGUCCAUUCUUCCUCUGUGCUGUUCAGCUGCUGUGUGGUUUGUUUUAACUGAUAUUCCGUGAGUACCCAGUAUUAAAACUCUAACCCUGGCAGGGGUUUUCACCUAGAGAGCAACAGGCUGCAUUAGGGGAAGACCUGGGUUUGUGACUAACAGUAUGGACGACAUAAGUGUUGCGUAUGAGCUUGACAGUUCAUGUCAGCUUUGCAGUAUUAUCCAUAACCCAUUGAUACUACAGCAUGAGAACGGCAGUGGGAUGCUGAUGUUGACUGCAUGAAGAGUCGAUACCAAAGGCUUAUGAUGGUUGAACUGACCAUCUGGAACAAUGCUUGAAAGUGUUUGAAAGCAGAGAGCAGCUCUAAAACAUUCACAUAUGUUGAGAUAUUUAUUUUAUGUAAAGUUUAUUAAAGUCACAAAACUUUUGUAUUUAUUUGUAACUCUUAUUAAUUGCAGUUAAUCAUGCAGUUUAUCAGUGUUCGAUCAUAUCAAGUCCGUGGUCAAUGAUGUCAGUGUUCUUCCUCUUUUCUUUGGUUUUUAUGUGACAGACAUGAUGGAUUGUGCCUUCAAAAAGCCCUGACAUUUUGAUGGUGGUCUGGAAAUGUCAACAUUGUUUCUUCAUUCAGAAGUGUAUAAGCACAUGCAAUAGCAAUUGUUUGAUCAUGUAUUAUGUUUUAUAUUCACUGUAAUACACAUUUUUAAGCUUGAUAUUAAUUGUAAAGUGCAAUAAAAUCAAUAAAAGUUUAUUUUUUUUACA
ensembl:lncRNA